rnacentral:rRNA from 1 species
CCUACGGGUGGCUGCAGUGGGGAAUAUUGGACAAUGGGCGAAAGCCUGAUCCAGCCAUGCCGCGUGUGUGAAGAAGGCCUUCAGGUUGUAAAGCACUUUCAGUGGGGAAGAAAGCCUUGGGGCUAAUACCCUCGAGGAAGGACAUCACCCACAGAAGAAGCACCGGCUAACUCCGUGCCAGCAGCCGCGGUAAUACGGAGGGUGCGAGCGUUAAUCGGAAUUACUGGGCGUAAAGCGCGCGUAGGCGGUCUGAUAAGCCGGUUGUGAAAGCCCCGGGCUCAACCUGGGAACGGCAUCCGGAACUGUCAGGCUAGAGUGCAGGAGAGGAAGGUAGAAUUCCCGGUGUAGCGGUGAAAUGCGUAGAGAUCGGGAGGAAUACCAGUGGCGAAGGCGGCCUUCUGGACUGACACUGACGCUGAGGUGCGAAAGCGUGGGUAGCAAACAGGAUUAGAUACCCCUGUAGUC